rnacentral:lncRNA from 1 species
AUAUACUAGAUGUUGACUAGUAAAUAAUGAUGACCAAGUUUGUCAUCAGUUUAGAUAAGAAUUUCUAUAUAUGAUCAUCAUUAUAUAUACUAUUUUUAUUAUUGAAUUUAUGUUGUUGGUGAUUCAUGUUGAUCAAUUUAUCUUAUUUGAGAUAUUAUUGUUCUUGUAUGAUUUUUUGGCAUGACUGGAUUAUGUAUUGAUUAUGUAUAUGUAUCCACUUGGACUGCCACCAUGGGCUUACAUGUGGAAUAACUGGCUAGGAGUUUAUACUUGGGAUAGCCUCUAUGAGCUUAUGCGUGGGAUAGUCAGCUAGGAGUUUAUGCCUAGGACAGCCUCCAAA